AUCGUUUUUAUAUUAACAAAUACAUCAUAAAAUAUAGCUAUAAACUGUCAACAUUAUCAUAUUUGAUUCACAUGAUUUAAGAAAGGAAUAUGAAUUGUAAUGCAUUGUAAUUGUUGUUAUUUUAAACAAAUUAAUGUAAUGUAUGUACUAUUGUACACUCUCGGGUGAAAUGUUUUGAUAGGUGCUCGGGAUUUGAACCACAAUGAACCUUUUUCAAAAACGUAUUAUGAUACUACGGUCUACUGUUUUAAUCAAUUUUUAUUAUUGAAUCUUUUAAACAGUGGAGCUUCCACUAGAAAUUUACAGUAAAAUUAGAUGCGUAGAAACGAAAAAGGUAGAUAACGAAUCAUAUUCUUAACAAAAUUAAAAAAUACGAAAAAUGGAAAAACCUGAACCUUUGAAUUUGUGAAAUUUAUAUUGCACUAUUUAGAAUAAUAGUUUAAAAAAAAAUUAUUUUACUUAUUACAGGUAUGUACCUAUCUAUAGUCUUAACAAAAUGUUAAAACUAUAAAGGUACUUGUUGUAAUUAAUAAAAUGUUAUAGGUGGUAUAUUUUGGUAUUAUAGAUUUGUGGCUCAAUCCCCGGCUAAUAAAAUAUAAACAAAUAGUGUGGCCCAAUUACCGACUGUCCGUUUUGAUAAGCUUAAAAGGUUAUAAUUUAACUAAGAAAUUCAAAGAACAAAUCUGAGCAAUAAUAAAUGCAGUGGUCACUUAUAGUUAGUAUUUAUUUAUAAAUAUAUAUAAGUAGGUUGUAGAUACUAACUACUAAUUUUGGUUGUGUAAUGUAUAAUAUUAUAUCAGGUGUAUAGGUACAUAGAGAGUUACAAGUCACAACUAAUUGGUAUCGUGAUUUAUAAAGAUAAACUAUAAUAAUAUUGUACUAUUGUGGAUUGGAGUGAAGUUAUAUGGAGGACAUAAUGGAAUUGAAAUCAGAAUGUAACUUUGAUAGGUCGUAAUUUUUACGUAGUACUAAAAGGUUCAUGACAUUUGUGUGUAGGGGACAGACGCAUAUAUAGGGAAGGCCGUGUUUGUGCCUAAAUACCAAAUUUGAGCUUAUACACAAACACUUCAAUUGCGCUUACUAAAAUUAAAUAACGUUAAAAUACUUGUUUGCGCCCAGUUAUAUUACAAAUCAAUAAAUUUGACAACAUCGCAGUAAAACUUAAAUUUCUCGUCUUAGACUUCGAACUGAAAGAAUAAAAUAUAUUAUAAUUAUUGAAUCAUUCUGGUGUGGUUAAAAAUAAGACUUCACUGUUCUGCUGCGUCAUAUUAAAUUAUUUUUGUUACUUUGACUUUCCUAACCUAAUAAUUGUUAUGAAGUUGUGAUGUCAAUGUAUCUUAAUUUCUUGAUAUCCUGGUGCUUUUUUACAACUGCUUUAUUUUUUGUUUGUUUUAUUGUUGUUCUAACAAGAUUUAUUUUUAAAUACAUAUAUGUUUGAAAUUCUAUUAAGACUUCCACACAUUUUACAAUUGCUGGAUGAGCAUUAAGAAAAUAACGAAUUAAAAUGUUUAUGAAAUGAUUCACAUGCUUUUGUUGUCUGUGUUUGAUUAUUACAUUCUUUUGUUCAGAGAAAAUACACUAUUUUCGUUUAUAAAAUUGUCAACAAAAUAACCAGCAUAUAAUUGUAUUUUUUUUCUUUCUGAAAUUUCCAACAUUAGUUCCAAAAAGCAAUCUGGUACUUCUAGUGGAUGUAAAAAUCUAAGACUAAAACAAUAUUGUAACCAUUUUCCUUCUGGACUAUUAGAUUUAAAUAUAUUUGUUAAUCCAAGAUUUUGAAUUUUUCUGAACCAACAUUGUCCCAAGUGAAAUCUGUAGGCAGAAAGUUUUAUUUCUUUUUAAAAAACAGAAUAUAUUUCAACAUAUGAAUACUCAAAGUUUAGAUUUAAACAUAAAAGUUUAAUAUUUUCAAAUACAUAUUCAUAGACUUCAUAAUAUUUUUAUUUUAACAAACAAAAUACCAGAGGUAUGUAAUGAUUAUUAUAAAAUCCAUGAUUUGUAAAAAGUUGACAGAAAAAACUGUGUGCAGGAAGUAAAUUUGUACCAAACUUAAAAAACUGUACACUUGUAUUACGCUUAAAAAUUACAAUAUUUUUUCUAUGUAUUCUAUGUCAUGUAUUGCAAUCAUCCAUUCGCCUUUAAAUUGAUUUUCUGAUAAUAAAAAUUCUUGAACUUCAAGAAUAUUUUUUGGAAUAUUUUUUUGCAUGUUUCUACGCGGGUAUACUUACAUUCCAUCACGAAUUAAUUUAAUUUAAUUUGAUUAAUCUAACGUGUCGACACUAUUCUUUGUAAUUUUAGAACGUAUAGUUUUAAUUGGACGAUCAUGUCCAAUGGAGUCAUGUCUUUGGCUCUUUUUUACACGCACUCCAAAUGUGUUGAUGAUUUAAUUUUGUUCACCAGUAUUAUAUUAAUAUGGUUGUGAUUUAAAUUGCUACUUACAGUUACAUUUCCAUUUUUAUUAUUCUUGCUAAACACGAUUUCGUUGUACUACGCCACGUUACAUUACCAGAUAAACUUUCAUACAAUUUUCUACAUUUAAAACUUUCAACAAUUAAUAAAUCUUUAACAUUUUUACUUGCAUUUUUUGAAAAAAAAUUACAUCAAACAGAAUUAAGUAUGUGAAGUAUGACGACAACGACUGACUAGCGUUUGAGAAAUGUCGUGUAUCGUAGGUAUCGACUAUCGGGGUAAUAAAAAUGAUCAACAGCAAAGAAGCACAGUUAGAUCGUAUGAUUAUGUCGAAUCACGACAGAUAGGUAUAAAAAUUAAAUUUCCCCACGUCGCGUCGCACAGUAGUUAAAAAUGGAAAUAUUUGGAUACAAUUUGAUAUAACAUCAAAUCACGCUUUAUGAACUAAGCGUUGCCAAAUUAAUUGAUUUGUAAUGUAACUAGGCCUUUAACAAGUAUUUGUGCAUAUUUUAAUUUUAUUAGGCGCAAUCCAGGUUUUUGAGUAUAGGCGCAGAAACAGUCGACCCCAUUUUUAUUAUAUCAUAAAAACGCAAUGACGAAUUGACGUUGCCUAUUGUAUUAGAGAAUUUCAUUAGAAAAAAAACAUACGAAUAAAUACAUUUUGAAUAAUCUCGUAUGGGACACAAUAUAUAAUGCAGCUCGUUGUAUGCGGAGAUAAAUAUUGAAAAUUAGAGCAGCCCUUAUAAUUUUUAUCCAUUGUAUGCUCAUAUCCUUGUGAAUGAAUCCCCCCCCCCCCAAAAAAAAAACCAUCCAAUUGGCGAUUUCCAUAUAGUUGCAUCUCAUUAGUCAUUUAUUAGAAAUAAGCGGUGUGAUUAUGGCAUCAUGGGCUAUAUAAGUAUACAGACAAAUAAUAAACCUAUUAUACUGUUUUUAUGCAAGAAUAGGUGCAUUACAUUUUAACUCCCAGCUUAAUUUGUAUAGCUAACAAGCUAAAAAAAAGGUUUGAAUGUUGAGAUAUUAAUUAGUAAAAGUCGAUGUAGUAAAGAUAAUGAUAACUUGUAAAAAUCAUCUAAACAUUUCUUUGCAAUAUGUAAAUUAAACACAUACGAAGAAAAUAUAAUUAUGCUACGAUAAAAUAUAAAGAAAAAAACAAUUUGGGUUUAGCUUAGUUUGCUUCCUUGUGGUGACCUUGGAUAAUGUUA